GAAGCGUGGUGGUGGCAGCAUCAUGCUGUGGGGAGAUUUUUCAGCGGCAGGGACUGUGAGACUAGUCAGGAUCGAGCAAAAGAAUAACGGAGCACAGUACAGAGAGAUCCUUGAUGAAAACCUGUUCAGGACCUUAGACAGGGGCAACGGUUCACCUUCCCACAGGAAGGAACGCUAAGUACACAGCCCAAGACAACACAGGAGUGGCUUCAGGACAAGUCUUUGAAUGUCCUUAAGUGGUACAGCCAGAGCCCGGACAUGAACCCAAUCAAACAUCUCUGGAGAGACAUGAAAAUUGCUCAGAAAACCAACCUGACAGAUCUUAAGUGGAUCUGCAGAGAAGAAUGGGAGAAACUCCCCAAAUACAGGUCAAAGUAGGAGGUCAAAGCUAAAACGAUGUCCUAGUUUCCGAUUUGGAUGACCUUUCAAAACGAUUUUCCCCCGUUGGAGCUAUUUAUUUUUUCCCGAGUUCCCAGCUGUCUUGAAUGCACUGAUGUCGGAAAUCCGAGAUUUCCAAGUUCCCAGUUGGUUUGAAACGGCAAUAGCUGCCUUAUGUCAUCUAGCUUUGGAAUACAUCGGGAAAUAUAAACUUCUGAAUCCAACUUUUGUCCGAACCACACCAUAUUCCUGCUGUGUAAACAGUGGUAGAUUUCGUGUUAGGAAGUUUCGCGUGAAGUGCGUGGUCUAAUCGCAGCCCCCAGUUUAACUCGGAGGGAAUAUGGUGACGACAAGUUAGAUUCAGACGCUUAUUUGAUAGCGAUGGACACAUUUCACUUUACGUCUGGAGAGUUUGGAAGCGGCAGACUGGGAAUGUCAGCUGGAAUAUGGAGCUAAACCGAGGUCUGUUUUUGUUCAGCGGACCCCGCAUGUCGGCCAUCCCCCUCAACACUCCAGCAGACAGUCAAGUUGCGUCUAGAGAAGACCUCUAUCUCUAGAGUGCCCUGGGCAGCCUUCUUCUACCCAUCUAAGUUCCUGUGGCUGAUCUACAACUCCAUCACCACCAUCCACCCCAGCAGCUUCCUUAAAUUGAAGGAGACCAUACACGGCCCUUUAAAAGAAGAUGAUCAUUGGCCAGCAGAAGGUGCCCCAGAGACAUGUAAGGUACUGUAGUGCUCUUUGAGUGACGAUGAUUACAAUGGGGGGUGUGAUGUAUUUUUUCAUGUUCUCAUUUUUUUUCUCCAGAUCAGUUUUUUACCAUCUUUAGAGAGAUCGAAGGUGAGAGAAUCACCCACUUAUCUGUGUAAACUCUGAUUACAAGGACAGAUUCCAAAAUCUAGGAGGAGCUCAGCUUUAAGAAAAUUGCAGUCAUAGUGAGUGUCUAUUAUAAUGUGGAAAACAAAUAAUUCCUACUGAAUAUGUAUUGUACUUACCUGCAGUAUAGUAUUAUUCAUGUGUGUAUUGGAUUUGGCAUUGAUCGUGACCUAUCCCCUUUUGAUGAUAAAUUGGUAGUAGAAUGCUGCACUACCACAUGUUUAGUUGGCUAUGGACACUCUCCUGUAUUUUACAGUUUGUACAGCUGUACACCUUUUUGUUUGUAAGUAAAGGCGAGUAAACAUUGAAAUGUGUGUGGACAUUCCUUGUCAAGGCACAAUGUCUAUAAACCUCAUUGAUUGUCAUAUUUACUUGUAAAAGCUUUACUUUGAUAUGAUACGCAAUAAUAUACAUUGAAUCUUGAGCCAAGGAAGCUUCUUAUCCUUAUAUGCCUCUCCCUAUGCCCUUCCUCCACUCUAAUACAGUCUCGUACUUUUGUAGUGCUGUAAAAUGCAUACAGUACACAUAAUGGGCAGAGGUACACACUGUACAAAGAAGUUGAAUGCUGACUACAUUUGACCAAAUGGUAGUGUCUCUUAUUCUGAAGAGUGCAUAUAUGUUCCAACAAGGUGAAAGUUUUGAAGCUCAUAACACUUCAUGUACAGUGCCUUCAGAAAGUAUUCACACCCUUUGACUUUUUCCACAUUUAGUUG